rnacentral:lncRNA from 1 species
UUACUUUUUUAAUUAUUAUUAUUGUAUUAGUCAUUUGCAUGUUUGAUGGUAGUUAGAGCACUUGCUUAGUGACUAAACCUAAUUAUUUGAAACUUGGGUUUUAAUAACUUGCGUCGGAUUUUUGGUGAUUGGUGAAUAUGAACUUCCCUGUUUGAUACAUUUUUACUUGAAUUAUAGCCUAAAUGUGUAUAUAUGUGUGUUGAACGCAGGUAGGGAGUUU